rnacentral:lncRNA from 1 species
UAGUAUCAUAAGUAGAAUUAGUUUUGUGAAGAACAGGAUUACUCAGUAAAAGCAGCUGAAUAAGGAACUGAGAGUUUUAAAUUUUAAUACCAGUUCUGUCACUGACCUGUUUUGUGAACUUACACAAAUAACUCAUUCUGUUUAUUCCUGCUCUAAAAUAGAGAUGGCCACAUCAACUCAGCUAACAGUUUCGUGAGAGAGAAUGAUGAAUAGAAAGGAAUUUGAAGCAAGUGGAACUGCUAUUGAAACACUGCAUAGCCUCGAGACUGGAGGUGCACUUAU